rnacentral:rRNA from 1 species
UACGUAGGGUGCGAGCGUUAAUCGGAAUUACUGGGCGUAAAGUGUGCGCAGGCGGCGUCGCAAGUCGAGUGUGAAAGCCCCGAGCUUAACUUGGGAAUUGCGCUCGAAACUACGAUGCUGGAGUGUGACAGAGGAAGGUGGAAUUCCACGUGUAGCGGUGAAAUGCGUAGAGAUGUGGAGGAACACCGAUGGCGAAGGCAGCCUUCUGGGCCAACACUGACGCUCAUGCACGAAAGCGUGGGGAGCAAACAGG